rnacentral:rRNA from 1 species
CUCCGGUUGAUCCUGCCGGACCUGACUGCUAUCGGAUUGGUACUAAGCCAUGCGAGUCGUUGUAGCAAUACAAGGCGGACGGCUCAGUAACACGUAGUCAACCUAACCUAUGGACGUGGAUAACCUCGGGAAACUGAGAAUAAACCGCGAUAGAUCAUUAUGCCUGGAAUGGCUUAUGGUCCAAACAGUUUACUGCCAUGGGAUGGGACUGCGGCCUAUCAGCUUGUUGGUGAGGUAAUGGCCCACCAAGGCUAUAACAGGUACGGGCUCUGAGAGGAGAAGCCCGGAGAUGGGUACUGAGACACGGACCCAGGCCCUAUGGGGCGCAGCAGGCGAGAAACCUUAGCAAUGUGCGAAAGCACGACUGGGUCAGUCCGAGUGAUUCCUGAUAAAGGAGUCUUUUAUCUGUCCUAAAAGCACAGGUGAAUAAGGGGUGGGCAAGUCUGGUGUCAGCCGCCGCGGUAAUACCAGCACCUCGAGUGGUCAGGACGUUUAUUGGGCCUAAAGCAUCCGUAGCCGGCUUUGCAAGUCUCCGGUUAAAUCCACCUGCUCAACAGAUGGGCUGCUGGAGAUACUACAAAGCUAGGGAGUGGGAGAGGCAGACGGUAUUCAGUGGGUAGGGGUAAAAUCCUUUGAUCCAUAGAGGACCGCCAGUGGCGAAGGCGGUCUGCCAGAACACGUUCGACGGUGAGGGAUGAAAGCUGGGGGAGCAAACCGGAUUAGAUACCCGGGUAGUCCCAGCUGUAAACGAUGCAAACUCGGUGAUGCAUUGGCUUAUGGCCAAUGCAGUGCCGCAGGGAAGCCGUUAAGUUUGCCGCCUGGGAAGUACGGACGCAAGUCUGAAACUUAAGGAAAUGGCGGGGGAGCA